rnacentral:misc_RNA from 1 species
GAUGAAGAACGUAGCGAAAUGCGAUAAGUAAUGUGAAUUGCAGAAUUCAGUGAAUCAUCGAAUCUUUGAACGCACAUUGCGCCCCUUGGUAUUCCGAGGGGCAUGCCUGUUCGAGCGUCAUUAUAACCCCUCAAGCUCAGCUUGGUGUUGGGGCCUGCUGCACUGGCAGCCCUUAAAAUCAGUGGCGGCGCCAUCUGGCUCUAAGCGUAGUAAUUCUUCUCGCUAUGGAGUCCUGGUGGAUGCUUGCCAUCAACCCCCAAUUUUUCUAUGGUUGACCUCGGAUCAGGUAGGGAUACCCGCUGAACUUAAGAAUAUCAAUAAGCGGAGGA